AGAACCUGAAACCAUAUGCUUACAAGAAGUUAGAGCCCGUUAAAGGGUGAUAGCGUGCCUUUUGUAGAAUGAACCGGCGAGUUACGAUAUGGAGCGAGGUUAAGCAGGAUAUGCGGAGCCGAAGCGAAAGCGAGUCUUAACAGGGCGCAAGUUGCAUGUCGUAGACCCGAAACCGAGUGAUCUAGCCAUGACCAGGUUGAAGUUGGGGUAAAACCCGAUGGAGGACCGAACCGACCCCCGUUGAAACGUUGGCGGAUGAGUUGUGGCUAGGGGUGAAAUUCCAAUCGAACUCGGAGAUAGCUGGUUCUCCCCGAAAUAGCUUUAGGGCUAGCGUCGAGGUAAAGUCGUGUGAAGGUAGAGCACUGAAUAUGUGAUGGCCCCAUCUCGGGGUACUGAACAUAAUCAAACUCCGAAUGUCACAAAGAUAUACUCGGCAGUCAGACAGUGGGUGAUAAGGUCCAUUGUCAAAAGGGAAACAGCCCAGACCAUCAGCUAAGGUCCCAAAAUAUAUACUAAGUGGAAAAGGAUGUGGAGAUGUCCAGACAACUAGGAGGUUGGCUCAGAAGCAGCCAUCCUUUAAAGAGUGCGUAACAGCUCACUAGUCGAAUGACUCUGCGCCGAUAAUUUACCGGGGCUAAGUAUAUUACCGAAGCUAUGGAUUUGCGAUGAGCAAGUGGUAGGGGAGCGUUCUAUGAGCGAAGAAGCAGUACCGGAAGGAGCUGUGGAGCAUAUAGAAGAGAGAAUGCCGGUGUGAGUAGCGGAACGUGGGUGAGAAUCCCACGCACCGAAAACCCAAGGUUUCCAGAGGAAGGUUCGUCCGCUCUGGGUAAGUCGGGACCUAAGGCGAGGCCGAGAGGCGUAGUCGAUGGACAACAGGUAGAGAUUCCUGUACUUACGGUAUGAAUGAUGGAGUGACGGAGAAGGCUAGCGGAUCCUGCUGAUGGAAAUGCAGGUGCAAGCGAGGUAGCCGACAGCCAGGCAAAUCCGGCUGUCGAAAGGCAAAGGCGUGAGGCGUAUGGAAAGCUGCGGCAAGUACAGAAGUCCGUGAAGCCAGCUUCCAAGAAAAGCUUCUAGUGAUAAUCAUACAGUAACCCGUACCGAAAAUGGACACACAUGGGUGAGGAGAGAAUCCUAAGGUGAGCGAGAGAACUAUAGCUAAGGAACUCUGCAAAAUGACUCCGUAACUUCGGGAGAAGGAGUGCUCAUUGAGAGAUGAGCCGCAGUAAAACGGCCCAAGCGACUGUUUACCAAAAACACAGCUCUCUGCCAAGACGCAAGUCGAAGUAUAGGGGGUGACGCCUGCCCGGUGCUGGAAGGUUAAGAGGAGUGGUCAGCGCAAGCGAAGCCAUGAAUUGAAGCCCCAGUAAACGGCGGCCGUAACUAUAACGGUCCUAAGGUAGCGAAAUUCCUUGUCAGGU
rnacentral:rRNA from 1 species